CCUACGGGAGGCAGCAGUAGGGAAUAUUGCGCAAUGGGGGAAACCCUGACGCAGCAACGCCGCGUGGGGGAUGAAGGUUUUCGGAUUGUAAACUCCUUUUGUUAGAGAAGAUCAUUACCGUAGCUAACGAGUAAGCACCGGCUAACACCGUGCCAGCAGCCGCGGUAAUACGGAGGGUGCAAGCGUUACUCGGAAUCGCUGGGCGUAAAGAGCGCGUAGGCGGGAUGGCAAGUCAGAUGUGAAAUCCUAUUGCUUAACCAUAGAACUGCAUUUGAAACUGGUAUUCUAGAGUAUGGGAGAGGUAGGUGGAAUUCUUGGUGUAGGAGUAAAAUCCGUAGAGAUCAAGAGGAACACUCAUGGCGAAGGCGACCUGCUAGAACAUAACUGACGCUGAGGCGCGAAAGCGUGGGGAGCAAACAGGAUUAGAUACCCUUGUAGUC
rnacentral:rRNA from 1 species